rnacentral:rRNA from 1 species
AUGAAUCAUCUUAGUUGGAACUGCCGGGGGGCGGGGAACUCCUGGACAGUUCGAGACCUAAGUACUUUGGUACCAGCACACUCCCCCAUGUUGGUUUUCUUGUGUGAAACCAGACAAUCCAAAGUAAAAAAGAGAUACAGAUCAAGACUAGGACUAAAAGGAUUUGAUGCAGUGGAUAGCAAUGGAAAUAGUGGAGGUCUACCACUGUUUUGGCAUGAAUCAUUGACUGUACAUAUCUUGCUUGCAAAUGAGCAUUGUAUUGAUGUUACAAUUGCAGCCGGACUUAAUGACCCACUGUGA